GUGCUCGCUUGGGCAGCACAUGUACUAGAAUUGGAACGAUACAAAGGUUAACAUGGCCACUCCACAAGGCUGACACACAAAUUCAUGACACGUUCCAUUUUUUU